CCUACGGGUGGCAGCAGUGAGGAAUAUUGGUCAAUGGACGAAAGUCUGAACCAGCCAUGCAGCGUGCAGGAUGACGGCUCUAUGAGUUGUAAACUGCUUUUGUAAGAGGGUAAAACCCGAUACGUGUAUCGGGUUGCAAGUAUCGUACGAAUAAGGAUCGGCUAACUCCGUGCCAGCAGCCGCGGUAAUACGGAGGAUCCGAGCGUUAUCCGGAUUUAUUGGGUUUAAAGGGUGCGUAGGCGGGUUGUUAAGUGAGUGGUGAAAUGUCGGGGCUCAACCGUAAAAUUGCCUUUAAUACUGGUGGACUAGAGAAUAGUUGCGGUAGGCGGAAUGUGUGGUGUAGCGGUGAAAUGCUUAGAUAUCACACAGAACACCGAUUGCGAAGGCAGCUUACCAAACUGUAACUGACGUUGAGGCACGAAAGCGUGGGUAGCAAACAGGAUUAGAUACCCUAGUAGUC
rnacentral:rRNA from 1 species